GGGAGGCCGGCGCGGACGUGCAGCUCGCCAACCCGGUCAGAUCCGAAAGGAAGCAGCCGUAACGAGAUUUGCGCGGGUCGCAUUGUCCGGUCUCCCACU
rnacentral:SRP_RNA from 1 species